rnacentral:sRNA from 2 species
CCAAUAGCGUAUAUUAAAGUUGUUGCAGUUAAAAAGCUCGUAGUUGAAUUUCGGGAUCAAUUAAUUGGUCGUGCCUCUGGUACGUACUGAUUUUAUUGGUUUCUCCCUUCUGACGAACCAUGAUGUCAUUAAUUUGAUGUCGUGGAGAAUCAGGACUGUUACUUUGAAAAAAUUAGAGUGUUUAAAGCAAGCUAACGCUUGAAUACAUUAGCAUGGAAUAAUGAAAUAGGACGUUUGAUCCUAUUUUGUUGGUUUCUAGGAUCGACGUAAUGAUUAAUAGGGAUAGUUGGGGGCAUUAGUAUUCAAUUGUCAGAGGUGAAAUUCUUGGAUUUAUUGAAGACUAACUACUGCGAAAGCAUUUGCCAAGGAUGUUUUCAUUAAUCAAGAACGAAAGUUAGGGGAUCGAAGACGAUCAGAUACCGUCGUAGUCUUAACCAUAAACUAUGCCGACUAGGGAUCGGAUGAUGUUAAUUUUUUAAUGACUCAUUCGGCGCCUUACG